AUUAAUCUAAAUUAGAGGAGAGGAGAGGGCAAUAACAGUUUAUUUUAUUUACAAGUAUAUUUUCCGUUUCGUUAAAAAAAUUACGAACGGCGAAAACAGAUAUGGCGACGGCAUCGGAGAGCGCAAGAGGAGGUGACAAAACGGCGAAGGCAGUCGUUGCCGAUCAGAUAUCGCAGGCUGUUAAUUCUACUGCUAACCUUCUCCAUCUGAUGCGUCAAUCGUCUUCUGCUCAGGCCCAGUUGGCAAAGCUCCCAAAGAAUCUUUUGGCCAAAGCUUCUUUAACUAAGGCCACUGGACAAUCGUUGGCGCAGCUUCCUCAAGUGAUUUCAUCUCUGGAUGCCCAUAUAGAAAGCGGCUUGAACAGUGGGGUUCACUUAAACACAGUAACCCAGUUACUUGAAAACAUGGAAAGCACGCAGCUUCGUGCUCUUCGACAAUCUAACUUAUCCCCUGUGGUGGACAACAAUCAAUCUCCAGAGCAGAGUUGAACAUUUCAGACAAAUGUUUCCUCAGUAGUAGUACAUAUGUUCAUCUCCAAUAAAUUUCUUCAUAAGAUGUGCACUUUUCCGUGUUGUCGAUGGCCAAUAUUGAUGAUGUGAACCAGUCUACUUGUAUAGCGGGCCAAAAGGAACCCACAAACGAAUAGUCUUCUGUUUAAUCCCAAGUGGCAUGAAAACUGCUCAGAAACAAGUGGGCAUUAAAGAAUCAGACAAGCAAUGAGAUUAUUUAGAAUUUGUGUUUGGACUCUUCUCGCUAGUCGACACGUCCUCCUGUUCAGCCUGCUUUGCACACUCAACUACAGGUUAUAUUAUAUCCGAAUUGCCGUCAAUUGAAAGAGAGACUUACAUAUAAAGACACAUUAUGAAUUUUCUUUUCUCUUAAAGACACAUUGUUUGUUUGGCACACUUUGUGUGGACAGGUGUUUUUUCAGGACAUAAAUGCCCUUGGUUUUGUGUAAGUAGAAAAAUGUUCUUUUCAAGAAACCAACAGCAAAGCUAACUAAAUUUUCGUGUGGUUGCAAUAAAUGCAACAUUUAUUAUUAAAAAGGUUGGUAUAUAGAUUUAUGUGAAUUGUGUUAAUUUGGCCAUCGGUUCCGUUUCGAAAAAAAAGAUUUAAUGGUGGUUGUGAAGUUCUGGGUUUGAAGUUUUGUUAAUUUAGUUUAAGAGUUUUAACAUUUAUCUGAUAGAUCUUUCUUCUGGUUUCUAAACAAAAAGUAUAUGAGGAAAAUAUAUUUGUACACUACAGAAAGAAACAUCAACGUUUGCAAAAUGCAGAAACUAUCAUCUUAUAUGAAUCUCGUUAUUUACCAGAGUAUAAAAAACACAUAUAGGAUCUUUACUGUUAUCCAUAUCUCAUCUGACCAUUUCGCACUUGACCCCAAGUCUCAUGACCACAACGACCACAUCCACAUAACUGUCGUCCACACCAAUCACACCCACACAUCCUUUGUCCACAUUACGAGAGCUCGAUGUAAUGUUGUCCUCUCCACACCAAAACUCGGACCUGCUCACCAUCGUUGUCCCUACCUCUCGUCCAGCUUCUUCCUCCCUCUCCCAAAACAUAUAAAUCUUGUAAAUAACCAGAGCAUGGAAGAUACAUGUGGAAUCUUCACUGUUAUCCAUAUCUCAUUUGACCACCUCUUAUCUAGCCACUUCGCACUUGAUUCCAAGUCUCAUGUCCACAAUGACCACAUCCAUACAGCUGCCGUCCACACCGAUCACAUCCACACAUCCUCUGUCUGCAUCACGAGAGCUCGAUGUCGUCGUCCUCUCCACAUUGGAGAUCGGACCUGCUCACCAUCGUUGUCCCUACCUCUCGUCCAGCUUCUUCCUCCCUCUCCCAAGACAUAUGAAUCUCGUAAAUAACCAGAGCAUAGAAGACACAUGUGGAAUCUUCACUGUUAUCCAUAUCUCAUCUGACCACCUCUUAUCUGACCACUUCGCACUUGAUUCCAAGUCUCAUGUCCACAAUGACCACAUCCAUACAACUUUCGUCCACAUCCACACAUCCUCUGUCUGCAUCACGAGAGCUCGAUGUCGUCGUCCUCUCCACAUUGAAGGUCGGACCUGCUCACCAUCGUCUUCCCUACUUCUCCUCCAGCUUCUUCCUCCCUCUCCCAAGACACUCGCCACUGAAACUGCGGCGUCAACGACGUAAAUCCUUGUCGUGUCCUUUUUCGAUUCUUCUCAGAAUCUCGCUUCUCGUACGCGCCACUGAAGCGAUGACAGAGGUGGUGCAGAGCUUCAUCAGUGUCCAUCUCCAUCACAGAGAUCCGUCAUCAUCCAUAUCCAUGGCAAAGUUGAUAUCUUUUAUCACGAAAGAACACGGCGGUGAACACGACUCUCUCAGAAAGUGACAGAGAAGACAACGGUGCUUUGGUUCAAUUGUACUUAUCCAAGAUGAUAGAUGAAUAUGAAAGAUUGUUUUUAGGAUUAGGUUAAGAGAAAGGGGAUCUGGAGAUUUUGAGUUAUCGAUGCAAAAUAUAUAAAAAAUUAAUGUUUUUAUAAUUCAUUAUUUAUUCAAACACGUUGAUAUCUAGUUCAAGGACAAAUUGGACAAAGUGACUUGGGAAAGUGUCUUCCAAACCCAAAGUGUCUAAAUUGGUAAUUGGAAACACAAAAUAUGUCCUUGAAGGUAAACUUUUC